rnacentral:rRNA from 1 species
GACGAACGCUGGCGGCGUGCUUAACACAUGCAAGUCGAACGGAAAGGCCCUGCUUUUGUGGGUUGCUCGAUUGGCGAACGCGUGAGUAACACGCGAGGAACCUGCCCUUGACUUUGGGAUAACUUCAGGAAACUGGGGCGAAUACCGGAGAGAAUCUCCUGCUGCAUGGUGUGGGUUGGAAAGUGUCGGCGGUGGUGGAUGUACUCGCGGGUUAUCAGCUUGUUGGUGGGGUAGUUGCUUACCAAGGCUUUGACGGAUAGCCUGCCUGAGAGGGUGACCGGCGACAUUGGGCCUGAGAUACGCCGCAGACUGCUACGGGAGGCAGUAGUGGGGAGUCUUGCACAAUGAGGGGACGCCUGAUGCAGAAGCGCUGCGUGCGGGAAGAUGGCCUACGGGUUAUAAACCGCUUUCGCAUGUGAUGAAGCGUGCGUGACGGUAAUGGGUCAAGAAGCAACGGCUAACUACGUG